rnacentral:tRNA from 1 species
GGGCCCGUAGUCUAGCUUGGUAGGAUGCGAGGUACGAUCCUCGUGGUCCGGGGUUCAAAUCCCCGCGGGCCCA